rnacentral:rRNA from 1 species
UACGAAGGGGGCUAGCGUUGCUCGGAAUUACUGGGCGUAAAGCGCACGUAGGCGGUCUUUUAAGUCGGGGGUGAAAUCCUGGAGCUCAACUCCAGAACUGCCCUUCGAUACUGGAAGACUUGAGUCCGGGAGAGGUGAGUGGAACUGCGAGUGUAGAGGUGAAAUUCGUAGAUAUUCGCAAGAACACCAGUGGCGAAGGCGGCUCACUGGCCCGGUACUGACGCUGAGGUGCGAAAGCGUGGGGAGCAACAGG